rnacentral:rRNA from 1 species
CCUACGGGAGGCAGCAGUGAGGAAUAUUGGUCAAUGGGCGUAAGCCUGAACCAGCCAAGUCGCGUGAGGGAUGAAGGUUCUAUGGAUCGUAAACCUCUUUUAUAAGGGAAUAAAGUGUGGGACGUGUCCUAUUUUGUAUGUACCUUAUGAAUAAGGAUCGGCUAACUCCGUGCCAGCAGCCGCGGUAAUCCGGAGGAUCCGAGCGUUAUCCGGAUUUAUUGGGUUUAAAGGGUGCGUAGGCGGGCUUGUAAGUCAGCGGUGAAAGUCUGUGGCUCAACCAUAGAACUGCCGUUGAAACUGGGGGGCUUGAGUAGGUGUGAGGCAGGCGGAAUGCGUGGUGUAGCGGUGAAAUGCUUAGAUAUCACGCAGAACCCCGAUUGCGAAGGCAGCCUGCCAGGCCAUGACUGACGCUGAUGCACGAAAGCGUGGGGAUCAAACAGGAUUAGAUACCCCUGUAGUC